GACGAACGCUGGCGGCGUGCUUAACACAUGCAAGUCGAACGGUGAAGGGACUGGUUUUGCUGGUCCUGGAUGAGUGGCGAACGGGUGAGUAACACGUGAGUAACCUGCCCCCUUCUUCUGGAUAACCGCAUGAAAGUGUGGCUAAUACGGGAUAUUCUGGGUCUGUCGCAUGGUGGGCCUGGGAAAGAUUGCGCCUUUUUUGGUGUUUUUGGUGGGGGAUGGGCUCGCGGCCUAUCAGCUUGUUGGUGGGGUGAUGGCCUACCAAGGCGGUGACGGGUAGCCGGGCUGAGAGGGUGGACGGGCACAAUGGGACUGAGACACGGCCCAGACUCCUACGGGAGGCAGCAGUGGGGAAUAUUGCACAAUGGGCGCAAGCCUGAUGCAGCGACGCCGCGUGAGGGAUGGAGGCCUUCGGGUUGUGAACCUCUUUCGCCAGUGAAGCAGGCCUGCCUCUUUUUGUGGGUGGGUUGACGGUAGCUGGAUAAGAAGCGCCGGCUAACUACGUG
rnacentral:rRNA from 1 species